GGGGAAGUGCUGGAAUUGGCAGACAGGCAUGGCUUAGGACCAUGUGUCGCAAGGCGUGAGGGUUCAAGUCCCUCCUUCCCCA
rnacentral:tRNA from 1 species